rnacentral:rRNA from 1 species
AGUGAAGGACCGUUAGUUGGUUGUAAACUGUCUUUUAUUAUGUGACGAUUAUGACGGUAGCAUAUGAAUAAGGAUCGGCUAACUCCGUGC